UACGUAGGCAGCGAGCGUUGUUCGGAAUUACUGGGCGUAAAGAGUGUGUAGGCGGUGCUCUAAGUUCGGUGUGAAAUCUCCUGGCUCAACUGGGAGGGUGCGCCGGAAACUGGAGUGCUUGAGCGUGGGAGAGGAAAGCGGAAUUCCUGGUGUAGCGGUGAAAUGCGUAGAUAUCAGGAGGAACACCUGUGGUGUAGACGGCUUUCUGGACCAUAGCUGACGCUGAGACACGAAAAGCGUGGGGUAGCAAACAGG
rnacentral:rRNA from 1 species